CCUACGGGAGGCAGCAGUAAGGAAUAUUGGUCAAUGGACGAAAGUCUGAACCAGCCAUGCCGCGUGAAGGAUGAAGGCCCUCUGGGUUGUAAACUUCUUUUAUCUGGGACGAAAAAAGCUCAUUCUUGAGCACUUGACGGUACCAGAGGAAUAAGCACCGGCUAACUCCGUGCCAGCAGCCGCGGUAAUACGGAGGGUGCAAGCGUUAUCCGGAUUCACUGGGUUUAAAGGGUGCGUAGGUGGGUCUGUAAGUCAGUGGUGAAAUCUCCGGGCUUAACUCGGAAACUGCCAUUGAUACUAUAGGUCUUGAAUCAUCUGGAGGUAAGCGGAAUAUGUCAUGUAGCGGUGAAAUGCUUAGAUAUGACAUAGAACACCAAUUGCGAAGGCAGCUUACUACGGGUGUAUUGACACUGAGGCACGAAAGCGUGGGGAUCAAACAGGAUUAGAUACCCUGGUAGUCCACGCCCUAAACGAUGGAUACUCGACAUCAGCGAUACACUGUUGGUGUCUGAGCGAAAGCAUUAAGUAUCCCACCUGGAAGUACGACCGCAAGGUUGAAACGUCAAAGGAAUUGACGGCUGAGACGAGCGAGACGACGACGAGGGAGGAGG
rnacentral:rRNA from 1 species